AUUUUACAGGUGUCAAAUGGGUGCUAUGAAGGAUACAUAAAGAGCAAGGUCAUGUCUCCCAGUGGAUUCUGUCCUGGUAUGAAAUGUGACGUAAUCUGAAUGAGAGAAAACCAAUAGAAAAGCAGCUUGGGAAGCUACAGAAAUGAAGAGCUUGGCUGAGGCACAUUAUCUUCAGAUGUAGGCAGUUCUGACAUGAUUCUGUAAUCACAGGCCAAUUAAAUCUGCCUUGAUUUACGGUCAGAUUUUCGGUGCAUCAGAAGCUGCAGAAGAAUACUCCUUCCUUCAGGAACAAAUCUUCUGGAAGGAAAAGUAAUGGCGAAAGUCAGGUAGUUCCUGACCAGUUCCUCCCAGGCUGUCAGAAGUUCUUCAGUGAAUAACUAGUCCGUAGAAGAGGACACACUUUCGAACCAUGGGGAUUUGUUAACUGUGCUAGGAAGAGGAACAACGUGGGGACCCGAUGUGGUGCUUCUUCUCCAGGCAUUUCAUGCGUGUGCUUGAUCCAAAAAACAUGGCUGCAGAAACAUGUACUUUAAAUGUCUCUGAAUUAGUCUGAUAAUUCAGCAACUGAACAGCAUGCAAGCAUCUAUGAGGAUGUAACAAUAAGCUCUGGGUUUAAGUCCUGCUGCCUCUUCUCAUCAGCUAUCAGCUGGCUGCUGAGGAUACUCUUCAGCUCCCUAUUUGGGUUGUUUUAUAGUAAUUUUGCUGCAGUUUUUUGUUU